rnacentral:rRNA from 1 species
GGCGGAUGGGUGCGUAACGCGUAUGCAACCUGCCCGUAACCGGAGGAUAACCCGCCGAAAGGCGGACUAAAAAUACCAUAAGACCCCGCUGCGGCAUCGCAGCGUGGUAAAAUCUGCGGAGGUUGCGGAUGGGCAUGCGUGCCAUUAGGUAGUUGGUGAGGCAACGGCUCACCAAGCCUACGAUGGCUAGGGGGUCUGAGAGGAUGGUCCCCCACACUGGAACUGAGACACGGUCCAGACUCCUACGGGAGGCAGCAGUGAGGAAUAUUGGUCAAUGGGCGGAAGCCUGAACCAGCCAUGCCGCGUGCAAGGGAAGACGGCCCUAUGGGUUGUAAACUGCUUUUGCAGAGGAGUAAAGUGGCGUACGUGUACGCCUUUGCAAGUACUUUGCGAAUAAGCAUCGGCUAACUCCGUGCCAGCAGCAGC